UACUGGUAACUUCUCUUCAAUGACACAUUUUUGAAACAAUUCUUGGAUUGAUUCAACACGUUCGUCACGCGUUCUAUUAGAUGCAACAAGUUUAUCAAUAUAAGGCUCCCAUUCCUCUGAGAGCUUCUUUUGAUUUUCUAAAAUUAUAUUCUGUUAAUAAAAAAUUAAUCGGUAUUACCUCGAACUUCUUACCUGAAACACUAACUUCGCCUUGCUGAUCCUUUUCUGGCAACGAAGUCAUGAACACUUGUUAAAAAUUACAAUCGUAGUGAAACGGAUUGCAACAAAAUUUUUUAAUGUUAACAAGUGACAAGGCU